CUGGAGGUAUCAGAAGUGCGAAUGCUGACAUAAGUAACGAUAAAGCGGGUGAAAAGCCCGCUCGCCGGAAGACCAAGGGUUCCUGUCCAACGUUAAUCGGGGCAGGGUGAGUCGACCCCUAAGGCGAGGCCGAAAGGCGUAGUCGAUGGGAAACAGGUUAAUAUUCCUGUACUUGGUGUUACUGCGAAGGGGGGACGGAGAAGGCUAUGUUGGCCGGGCGACGGUUGUCCCGGUUUAAGCGUGUAGGCUGGUUUUCCAGGCAAAUCCGGAAAAUCAAGGCUGAGGCGUGAUGACGAGGCACUACGGUGCUGAAGCAACAAAUGCCCUGCUUCCAGGAAAAGCCUCUAAGCAUCAGGUAACAUCAAAUCGUACCCCAAACCGACACAGGUGGUCAGGUAGAGAAUACCAAGGCGCUUGAGAGAACUCGGGUGAAGGAACUAGGCAAAAUGGUGCCGUAACUUCGGGAGAAGGCACGCUGAUAUGUAGGUGAAGCGACUUGCUCGUGGAGCUGAAAUCAGUCGAAGAUACCAGCUGGCUGCAACUGUUUAUUAAAAACACAGCACUGUGCAAACACGAAAGUGGACGUAUACGGUGUGACGCCUGCCCGGUGCCGGAAGGUUAAUUGAUGGGGUCAGCGCAAGCGAAGCUCUUGAUCGAAGCCCCGG
rnacentral:rRNA from 1 species